AAAAGUUAUUCUUCAACACAUACAGAUGUUCAUCUCCUCAUGAUUUUCAAAGUUUUAACCAUCUGAAGAGGACAGAAAAGGGAAAUGGGAUGUGGAAGAACCUUACUCCAAUCCCCUCUCUUCAUUUUUGUAUAUAUUAUUUUGGUACAGAUCCUUUGUGGAGUUUUCAAUAUUUGCUAAACCAAUUUCCUUUUUAAUUCAUCCCUUGCAUUCUGUAUAUUUUAUAUGUAUAACAAUCAUGGAGGUCUCCCUUUUUGAGCAAACAAUGCUAUCACCACUGGAAUAAUACCCUUUUUAUUUGAAUCUCUAGCCUAUGUAAAUUUGCUUGUGGAGGACAUAUUGGAUCCUACUGGUGCUCUUAGAGUUAUGUUCUUUUUAUCAAAGGCCUUGCCUGCAGGCAUAGAAAGUAUUGUGCAGCCAAGGAUGACUUGCCAACAAAACGUUUUCUGAGGUGUUUUCUGUUAAAAAGAUUCACAGAGAUGAAGUUGGCAAGUUGUUCUUGGCUACAUAUUCUUUCUACCCUGUAUGUGAGGCCUCAGAUGACUUAUAUUAUUCGUUAAUGAGCUUCUGCAACAAAUUAGAAAGGUGAGACUAAUUUAGAAUGCUAUGCUUUAGCUUCUAAUAAUGGUUUUCGGUAUUUUAUUAUAUACUAAAUUAAUAAACUUUCUUCUGCAUCGAUCAUAUAUAUAUACCAAGUAAUUAACAAUUAAAGAUCAGUUAUUAAAAAACAUGUGCAGGCUUUGUUGCAGAGAUCUUUCAUCAUUGCAUACUAGCCAUACAUAGUGCUAGUCAGUCUGAUUCUGAGUUAAUUAAUUCAGCAGCAUCUGAAAGUUUUCAAUGUUCAGAAUUGGUGCAACAUCAAGCCUAACUCACUGCAGACUUCAGGAUUUGCAUCAGGGAAUCCUGAGCUGGUGAUUUCCCCUUUGGCCAAAGUGAGAUGAGACUUUUAGGUGAAGUUGAAUUUGUCAAUCAUCAUCCAGGAAUCCAACUUUUAGAUUCACAUUUAUAACUUCUUUUAUUCAUCACAAGUAGCUUGAGGGGCAUCAAACAAAGAAAUGAAAAAGGAAAAAUCAUCAAGACACUGUUUCAGGAAAUAAGGUGACAUAGAGUACCAUAGUUUGUCUGUAUAUUUCUAGGUUUUGAUAGGGAAAUUUUAUUAUUGUGUGCUUUUAAUAAACACGAGAUAUUGUUGCUUUAUAUUUAGAGAUGGACAAAAAAUUAGAAUUGGUUUGAUUUUUUUGGUAUAUAAACACAAUCAAUCAGAAUAGCAGAAACAAAUUUAACCUUAAAAAAGAGCCCUCAGAUGAGUGAAUAUUAGCAUAUUAGAACGAGAGAAUUUUUAAAGCCUGCUUAUAGAAUUGCAUGUUGAUUCGAGUGUUACUUGGAAUAAUGCAUAAGUUGGCUGGUCGGUUUAGCGAAAUUUGGUUGGGUCCAUAAGUUGGGUGGUGAAGCCUUUAAGGGCUGAUUUGCAUGGCUCAAUCCUGGCUUAUGAUAGGCUAAAGUUCUUGGCAUCAUAGCUUUAAAACAAAACCUAGAUGUGGGAUAUGCAUUUAACUUCUAAUUUAGGUGGUUGCAGCUGGAGUUGUCUUCAUCAGGUGUUAGUCAAGAAUUCACACUAUUACUCAAAAUUAUCUAUGGAUAGAUUUAUAUGUGUUAAAAAAAAAAUUUGAUACAUAAUAGGACAUAUGAGUGUGUGCUUUUCCAUCUCCAUAAGUUAAUUAAAAUUAGUUAAGUAGAUAGUUAAUAAUGGUUUAUAUGAGUGUGUUUUUCUUUGGUUUGAGAUACAAUCAUACAAAUAAUUAAUAUUUUUAUUUUGAAAGGUUAAUAAUGGUUUAACCUUAAAAAAGAGUCCUCGGAUGAGUGAAUAUUAACAUAUUAGAACAAGAGAAUUUUUAAAGCCCGCUUAUAGAAUUGCAUGUUGAUUCGAGGGUUACUUGGAAUAAUGCAUAAGUUGGCUGGUGGGUUUUAGAGAAAUUUGGUUGGGCCAAUAAGUUGGGUGGUGAAGCCUUUAAGGGCUGUUUUGCAUGGCUCAAUCCUGGCUUAUGAUAGGCUAAAGUUCUUGGCAUCAUAGCUCUAAAACAAAACCUAGAUGUGGGAUAUGCAUUUAACUUCUAAUUUAGGUGGUUGCAGCUGGAGUUUUCUUCAUCAGGUGUCAGUCAAGAAUUCACACUAUUACUCAAAAUUAUCUAUGGAUAGAUUUAUAUGUGUUAAAAAAAAAAAUUGAUACAUAAUAGGACAUAUGAGUGUGUGCUUUUCCAUCUCCAUAAGUUAAUUAAAAUUAGUUAAGUAGAUAGUUAAUAAUGGUUUAUAUGAGUGUGUUUUUCUUUGGUUCGAGAUACAAUCAUAUAAAUAAUUAAUGUGUUUAUUUUGAAACAGUUGAAGUUGGUAAAUAGAAUACCAUUGUUGGAUUUUAAAGGUGCUAAGAGAAAACCUUUCUGUAUAAUCUUCUGUGUAUACAAAUAAACCUUGUAAAUUAUCGUUUGAAUAUCAUCAUUUUCUUGACGAAAUGAGAAGGUAUAUUACAAUACAAAAUUGUACUAUAAUACAACUGAUCUCUUUCAAUUUUUAUUAGGUUUUAUGGAGUGGAACUAAAAAAUAAAGUAAGGUGUCACAACAAAGUAAAACCUUAAAUUAUCCGGUGUAGUGAUUGAAAGUUCAGUUAUUAUGUUACGAAAUUUAUUUAUUCAAUGAAGUCGGACAGAGUU